GCGCGCUGCCGAAUUGCAAUCUAGAGCGUUCCCUCAGUGUGCACGAGGCAUUCAAGCAACAGCAAGUUGUGAAAGAGCUGGCGGUUUCGCGCGCUUGGAGUUCCUGGAGCUGAAGAACGCGCACGCGCGAAUUUCAGAACGAAAGAAAGAAAAAGAGCUCCUCGUGGGAAUCCAUUGCUAUGAAUGUACCGAAGAUGGAGGCCAGAUACUCCGCCAUCUCUCCCAACCUGCCCGGCCCGGCCGACCGCCGGAUCACUUGGCACCCACCUAACACGUCACAAGUCCGCGACGGAAAUAUCUGCCGUCCCACCACUCGUGAAAUGAUGGAGCGCCUACGACCAAUCGGCACAGAAAGAUAAAAGAAAGGACCAGGAUUUACAAAUUCUCUGCUAUGGGAUUGUGAAAGUUUCCCAGAAGAGAAAGCCCGCCCCACCAUCCGAUCCAUAAUCCACACAAAAAGAGGUUGGAUGGACAUGAAGCAGGUUGUGAUUUCAGCUGAAGAAUGCACAUUACUUCUGCUGUGCUGUGUAUACACUAAAAAGAUUAUCUGAGCUCCGGUGUGUAGAAAUAAAGAGAAAAAAGCUGUGUCAUGUGAAAUCUCUGAUUCUGUAAACAGAAGCAGCUGUGUUAAACAUUUGGCCACAACAUUUACAGCAGAUGAUAGUAUUAGAAUGUUAUUUUCAAGGUAAGUUCUGUCCUUUGAGAAAGAAUAAAACUGAUGCAUCUUUUAGAACCUUUUAUUCAACAUCACCUUUUCCCUUCCAUUAUACAGUAUUUGUUUUAUCAGUGGUAUUUCGGUGCUGCUCCAUUCCAAUAAGCCAUAAGCAGCAGAGAAUAUUAAUAGAAAAUUAAAAGUAGCAAAGGAAGUUCACAAUUAUCCAAUGUUAUUGCAGCUACCAGAAAACCCCUUCCCCACCUCUUUCUGGGUUGUUUGCUUUUUCAGAACUUUCCUGAAAAGGGGAGGAAUUUAUUAUGUUUGUGCUUCUUAAGUUAAAGCACACAUCUUGAUGUUGAAAGGCUUAUCCAACACUUAUUUGGGAUAGCAGAUAUUUAUGAGGUACUUUAGAGAGACAUUAGAAAGACAUCAUCUUAACAAGCUGUCGCCAAUAUGUAAGAUCAAAGUUUCUGGUGUUUUUUUUUUCUGUGCAAGCAACUUAGAGUAGCAUCCAAACUUCUCUAUAGCAAUAUAAAAUCUAUUUUUGUUAGUGCACAGUGCUAUAAAUUGUUCGUG